UAAAACGGCCAUGCCACCCUGAACAAGUCCAAUCCCAUCUGAUCUCGGAAGCUAAACAGAGUCGGGCCUGGUUAGUACUCAGAAGGGAGACCACCUAGGAAGAACAGGUUCUGUAGGAG
rfam:Pteropus alecto contig87215, whole genome shotgun sequence.